rnacentral:rRNA from 1 species
CGGUAAUUCCAGCUCCAAUAGCAUAUACUAAUGCUGUUGCUGUUAAAAAGCUCGUAGUUCGACAAGGAUUGAGACUGGUUCCUCGGCAUGAGUGCGUAACUUGUUACCUCUUGCUAAGAGCCGUAUGGUUUCGAUUCUGUAAUGAAGGAGAAACUCGGUUGAAGGGCUCUUCACUGCGCCUGGAAACGACUUCGUACCAACCAUGUACACAAGAGUUUUCCUUUGUGAUACCGUGAACAAAACAGCGUGCUCAAAGCAAGUGAUUCUGCUCGAAUGUUCAAGCAUGGAAUAUCAAGGAAGCGACCAUUAAGCUAAUCUUUGCUGGUUUCUGUAGCCGUCUUGAGGAAUUGGACUUGAGAAUAUCGAAGAGCUUCGGUUCCUUCGGGUUCUGUUGCUUUCUCGAAGCUCUGGUUUACCGGUAUUAACAGGGGUGUACGUAUUGGCACGCGAGAGGUGAAAUUCUUAGACCGUGCCAAGACGAACCUAAGCGAAGGCAUUCUGCAAGUAUAUCUUCACUAAUCAAGAACGAGAGUACAGGGAUCGAAGAUGAUCAGAUACCGUCGUAGUCUGCUACUGUAAACGAUGCGAACUCGGGAUCAGCUGUCGCCAAUCAUUUUGAUUACCAGGCUGGAACCUACUUAUUCUCCACUAGCGCGAAAGCUUUAAGUUUAUGCGUUCAGGGGGGAGUACAGUUGCAAGGCUGAAACUUAAAGGAAUUGACGGAAUGACACCACAAGGCGUGGAUGCUGCGGCUUAAUUUGACUCAACACGGGAAAUCUCACCAGGUCAGGACGCACGUUGGAUUGACAGAUUGAAAGCUCUUUCUUGAUUGUGUGUAUGGUGGUGCAUGGCCGCUCUUUGUUCGUGGAUUGAUCUGUCAGGUUGAUUCCGGUAACGAACGAGAUCUUGGCCUUUUAAUGACAGCUUGAUCGGUUUGUAGUCCAAUGCUGAUGCGCUUGCGUACUCACGUUGUAUGAGAUCUUGACAUGUACUUAAAGGGACUAUGCGUGUUUACAGUGCAUGGAAGUGCGAGCCUAUAGCAGGUCUGUGAUGCUCCUAGAUGUCCUGGGCUGCACGCGGCAUACAACGGUGAAGAAAACGAGUUUGGUUUGUUUGAGCUCCUUGUGCGAAAUCAUUGGGAAAUCUGUGUAACCUUCAUCGUAAUGGGGAUAGUUGCUUGCAAUUAUUUGCCUUGAACCAGGAAUGCCUUGUAGACUCGACUCAGCAAGUCGAAUCGAAUAAGUCCCUGCCGUUUGUACACACCGCCCGUCGUUGCAAUCGAUCGGUUCAAUGCUAGAGGUUUUCCAGAGGUGAGAUUGCUCAGUCUACUGUCUGUUUUGCUUAAGUUAAUCAAUAGCCUUGAACUAGAGAAUGCAAAAGUCGUAACAAGGUAGCCG